rnacentral:piRNA from 1 species
UCUAAAAUGGAUGGCAACAGCCCAGACUGUG